CACAAACGACUCUCGGCAACGGAUAUCUCGGCUCACGCAUCGAUGAAGAACGUAGCAAAAUGCGAUACUUGGUGUGAAUUGCAGAAUCCCGUGAACCAUCGAGUUUUUGAACGCAAGUUGCGCCCGAAGCCUUUUGGCCGAGGGCACGUCUGCCUGGGCGUCACGC
rnacentral:rRNA from 4 species